GUUGAAGCAAACGGGGAAAAGAGUCAAGUUCAUGUAUGUGGUAAUCCUGGGAGAAAUGUAAUUGUGAAAAGGGUGUGCAAGUUCAAGAAGGGGAAAUCAGCAAUGGAAGGGGUGAUACAAUGUGGAUUAGGCCCAUCUGGCCAUUUGAGUCACACUGCUCCAGCAACCCCACAGUCCCAAUUAAUUCUAACCUAAUCAUGGGAAAAUUUGCAAUGAGCACUUAACCUACUGGUACAUCUUUGGACUGUGGGAGAAAAACUGAAGAACCCGGGUAAAACCCACACAGUCCAUGGGGAAGAAAUACAGAGACUCCUUACAAAAUGGAACCGGAAUUGAACUCCAAACUCCGGAAUGCCCAGAACUGCAAUAGUGUUGUACUAACUGCAGUGGUACCCAUUGUUAUGACUCAAGUGUUAUCACUUCAGAUGAUCUGUCCUGGGUCCAGCAUGUAACUAGUAUUUUGAAGAAGGCAUGGCAAAGAAGGCACAGAUUUAGCAUGUCAUCUAAAACUUUGACAAAACUUGUAUAGAUGCACAGUGGAGAGUAUACUGACUAGUUGCAUCAUGGUCUGGUAUAGAAACACCAAUGGACUUGAGCAAUAAAGGACUAUAAAAAGAAAUGGCUACCACCCAGCCCAUCACAGGUAAAACCCUCCCCACUAUUGAGCAUAUUUACAAGGAAUGCUGUCACAGAAAAGCAGUGUCCAUCUUCAAGGAUCCCCAUUGUCCAGGCAGUGCUCUCCUCUCACUGGUACCAUCAGGAAGGAUGUACAGGAACUUCAAGCCCACAGCACCAGGUUCCAGAAGAGUUCUUAUCCUUCAACCAUCAGGCUUCUGAACCAGAGGGGAUAACUUCAAUCACCCUAACACUGAACUGAUUCCACAACCUAUGGACUCACUUUUAAGGACUCUACAACAUGUGUUCUUGAUAUUUAUUAUUUAUUUAUUUUUAAAUUAUUUUUCUUCUUUUAUUUGCACUGUUUGUGGUCUUUUGCACACUGGUGUCUAUCUCUGUUGUGUGUGGUUUUCCAUUGAUUCUAUUGUGUUUCUUUGUAUCUGCUGUGAAUGUCCACAAGAAAAUGAAUCUCAGGGUUGUAUAUGGUGAUAUAUAGUUACUUAGAUAAUAAAUUUACUUUGAACUUUGCCUAUGUAUUACAAUUUUUAGGAAGGAAGAUAGUCCAGUAAUUAAAGAUACAUAGUUGGUAUAUGUAUGCCAAAAUCAUAAAUACAGACUAAUACAAAGUAAUGGCUUGACUGAGAAGCAUGGAAAAAACAGGCCAGAGCAAAAAUCUGUGGUUGGGGACAAACGUGGAGAAGUAGCUCAAUCCUUCACAUUUGUCUCCUGAAUGUAAAGAUGAUGACUAAAUAAAGCAAAGGAUGUUGUUGGAUCCAACUGUAUAAUUCUUAGAUUAGACAGUUUACAGUCGGUCCUCCUUAUCCGUGAGGGAUUGUUUCCGGGACCUCCCGUGGAUACCAAAAAAUGCGGAUGCUCAAGUCCCUUAUAUAAAAUGGCGUAGUAUUUGCAUAUAACCUAUGCACAUCCUCCCAUAUACUUUAAAUCAUCUCUAGAUUACUUAUAAUACCUAAUACGAUGUAAAUAGUUGUUACACUGUCUUGUUUAGUGAAUAUUGACAAGAAAAAAAACUGUACAUGUUCCUCUCGCUCACAACACAAGCAGCGAAUGAACGAGACGCCGAUUCUCCUGUGAUCUUUACGUUCUUGAGGCUGUAGCGCCUUAUGUAGCCAGCCAGCCAUCCCUUACUAGACUCAAAUUCUUUUCUCCUGCUCUCAUCAAACCCGUCACAGUAGUGCUCAUAGAGACUAAGAGCUUUUUCACUUUACGCUCCCUCUUAGCCUUAGAGGAAUUGCUUUGACCACGUAAUUGCUUUUUAGGAGCCAUUUUUUCACAGGAAAAAUGUAGUGAACGAACAAGACGUGAAGUGAACAACGCUCGAGCAACGUGCUGGAAGAGCACUUCCGGGUUUCUUGAUUCAUGGUUGGUUGAAUUCACGCAUGCGGAACUUGUGGAUAAGGAGGGCCGACUGUAAUUGUUAUUUUCUUUGCAGUUUAACAAUCAAUUAUCUGCUUGUAUGUUAAACUCUGUAUUGUUAUGUACAUAACAGUUUAAUAUACUGCUAAUGGUUAUUCAAAGUAUAAUCCUGGAAAGCCCUGGAAGCUUCUUUGUACUGUAUUAUAUGAUUAAGGACCUUCUAACUGGUUACCUCUUAUUUAUAAAUUUGAAUGAAAUUUUCCCUUAUCUAUGGGUAUAAAAUAGCAAAGCAGCGAUAUCUUCUUAGCACCUUAGGCUACGUCCAUACUUGACCGGAUAAUCUUGAAAAUGCCGGUUUCACGUAAGAACGAUAGGCAGCCACACCAAGCGUUUUUGAAAAUACCUCCGUCCACAUUAAAACGGGCAUUUGGGUGAAUCUCCUCCUACUGGGCAUGCGCAGGACACAUCUACAGAAAACAAGUGACAUGUUUGGUGUUGAAUCUCGCUGUGAAAGUCUGCGUUUGUGCAGUUACAGACUAGAAAAACUUAAAAGGAAAUUGCCAAAUGACAGACAGCUGUUGGCGCUUGCACAGGAGGACUUAAAACUGAAAGAAGACUAAUACUGGAGCGUAUGGAGGCAACUGACAGGGAGUUCACGGACAGUAUGACCUGGCUGAUGACGAACAUUGAAAAACUGACUAACUCUGUUGCAUUAAUAAAGCAUCUUGUUAAACGUAUCAAACAUGACUGCAUCAGUGUUAUCUUGUAUUUCCAUACAAUGUUACAUUAGGCUGUUACAUAUCUUGUCAGAGAAGUACUUGCAUAAAUAGGUAAACCACCUUCAUACAAGCAAGGAUAGAAAACAAGGCAAAGUGAGUGUACUUAUUUAUUCAAUAAGUUAAUGGUCAAAGUACAGUAUUUGGUGAGUACAUUUCUAACUCUUCUGGCUUCAGUCUCGUUGCCAUCUGUUCUGAAAUUGUUAGGUUGUGUGGGGGGUUUGUGUUCAGGAAAACAAUGAAAUGCUGGAAUCUGUUCCGGCACAUCAUGACAGCGUUUCCAGAAAUCUCUGGUUACCCCGUUCAUACUACUCUUGCCCAAGCAGCGUUUUCAAAUUUACACACUCUGGAGGGCAUUUUAGAAAAGCUUCGUUUUUGGGGGAGGAAAACACCGUUUUAGUGUGGACGGAGGGUCAAAAUGAAGUGAAAAAGCUUUGGUUACAGAUUUAUCCGAUCUAGUGUGGACGUAGCCUUAAUCUCUUUGUCUUUAAGCCUUCUGCUACUAGCUUUUGCUCCUGUUUCCUUUGUUCUAUCAAUGCUUAAUAAAAUGAC